CAAUAGCGUAUAUUAAAGUUGUUGCAGUUAAAAAGCUCGUAGUUGGAUUUCUGGUUGAAGCGACCGGUCGGGCGUUGAUUCGUCUGCACUGGUGUCGGUUUUGGCCAUCCUCUAGGAAAGUGCGUCUGGUAUUAAGUUAUCGGGCGUAUGAUCCUGGUCUUUUACUGUGAAAAAAUUAGAGUGUUUAAAGCAGGCCUUCGCCUUGAAUACAUUAGCAUGGAAUAAUAAGAUAGGACUUUGGUCUAUUUUGUUGGUUUGCAGGCCGAAGUAAUGAUUAAUAGGGAUAGUUGGGGGUAUUUAUAUUCCGAUGUCAGAGGUGAAAUUCUUAGAUUUUCGGAAGAUAAACUUAUGCGAAAGCAUUUACCAAGGAUGUUUUCAUUGA
rnacentral:rRNA from 1 species